GCCGUCCUAGCUCAGUGGUAGAGCGCGUGGCUUUUAACCACGUGGUCGUGGGUUCGUUUGAUCCCCACGGACGGCG
rnacentral:tRNA from 1 species